ACAAAGCCCGUGACUUCAGAACCAAAACCCUUGUUUGAUACUCUUGUUGAUAAAAAAUAACAGAUGUAAAAAAACAAGUAGAUUAAAUAGGAUGUUAGAGGGUGAUAAUUAGUAUAGAAGAAGAAAAAUAAAUUUGGAAGGACGUGAGGGCUUAUCCAUGGGGAUAUCUGGGUGAAGGGCAUUCCCAGAUGAGAGCCCAGUCAGAUCCUUAGGAGGAAUGUGCCUGUCCCUCUGAGGAAAUGCAAAAUGGCUCGUGUGGUUGAAGCAGAGUAAUGAAGAAAUGAAGUCAGACAGACAAUACAGACCACUGUAAUGUCUUUGGUUCUUCCUUAAAGGGAAGUAGGGAGCUAUUGCAAGAGUUUGAGCAACAGAGUGACACAAUCUCACGUGAAUUUUAGAAGUUCCACGCAGCUGUUGUGUUGAAACAGAGUGUGGAUGACAAGGUUCUCAGGCAGACCAGCCAGGAGGCUCACACACUAAUUCAGGAGAGUGGUGAGGUGGCUCAGACCCAGGAAGGUCCUGGGGAAGUAGUGAGAAAUGGAUACAAUUUGAACAUAUUUUGAAGGAAUAGCUGACAGGAUUUCCCGAGAUUGGAUGAAGAGUCUCUUUUAAUGGGGAAAACAAAUAGUAAACAAGGAAAUGAACAACUUUGAUUUGUCCUGUGAAAGUAACACACCAGAUGGGGAGAAAUUCAGUGUCCAGAUGUUUCAGAAUCCAGAUGGCCUAUGAAUCCUCUAUCACCCAGAAAGGAGGAAAAUAUGCAUGAAAGUGGAAC